UGUGCGGAGCGUACGGUUUUCGGCGGCGUCCCUCGGGAGAAACUGUGUGUCAAAGCGAGGGCAGAACAAGAAUCUCCCACCGGAAUGCGGCUUCAUGGAUUUUCGCCCGGAAUUUCGAGCAGGAAAAUACAGCUUUGCAGAAGUUGCCGCGCGGUCUCGGCCAUCCGAAUUUUAUUAAGAUCCUCCUAAGAGAACCGGAACGACGAGGCGAGCCGGCGCUGCCCACCUCCCGAGGAAUUCCAAUUUGAGUGGCCUUCGAAUACCAAGGAAGCAGUGGUUCGAAGCGGUUUUAGAAGAAGGAUGACAUUUUCGAGAAAGGCGGGAGAGUCACUGUUCGCGCCAAAAGGCGCGUCGUAAUUGCGGAGGCAGCCGAACAGCCAGCGACGGGAACCGAACACUGCGAAUGAGACGUAGAGCGACAUCUGUGCAGGGGCUUGGGAGGUACGAGGAGAAACUAUGCACAGAGGAUUAGAGUACUAAUGAAACCGAGCGAGGUUUAAUAAUAGCCAUCGAUAGGGUUCCAGAGGAUUCAACAGGGUUCAAGUAUAUAUAAUUCAAUAGGGAUCAGUGGAAUUGUACAUAUAUCAGUGGAGGUCAGAAUUGAAUUAGAUACAGACAGGAUGUAAUUGAGGAUCAUUAGUAUUCUCUUGGAAGGGCAUAGCAGAGUAGAAAUGGGUUUCGAUUAGAGACCGAUGCAGUGAGAAAUAAAUUCGGUUGAAUUAAAUGGAAUUAUAAUUGAACUAGAAAACACAGUGGACUAAUCGGUGAAAUUUAGAACCGAAGAAAAAUAAAAAAAAUAAAUGAAUAAAGAUGGAACAAUCGACAACAGAAUGAAACAGAACCUCAUAGAGUCGAAUUAGGAUGAAUGGAAUUACAUAAACCUUAGCAGAAUUUCAAUGGUAAUUCACAUGAUACAACGUAUCGUAUGAAUCGAAUUAAUUACAAUCGAAUGGAAUUAAAUUAUUAUUGAACACUGUACAGUAUUGAAAGGGAAUGAAUAGAAUUCGGCAGAAUUGAAUAGAAUCGUAUGGAAUGUACGUGAAUGAAAACGAAAAUAAAUGAGAUUGAAUAACAUCGACCAGGAAUCAGCGAGAUUGAACAAAAAAAAUCGAAGAGAAUACGCGACGAUGAUCAGCAAGAGAUCUCGCUAAACGCAAUCACUGAAAAUCGAUGAAAAUAUUAACCCGGAGAGAAUCGGCAGGAUCAAAAGCAAAUGCUGAAAAAUUAAAAAUCAAAAUCGAACCUCGAAACACUCGCUGUCACCGAGGAACAUAUCGACCGCCAUACCUUUCGUUGUCGCGUUUCUCGGCAGAUUAGGUCGAACAAUGAAGGAUCGAUGCCGCCGCCGUGCUCGCGGGCCGAAUCGGGCCAGGCUAGGCCGGGCCGCUACGGGCGAAAAGAAUGGAAUUCCAUAAACUGAUCGGGCAUCGCGACAGUUGUUGUAUGCAGCCGCUUAAAUCAGCGGCACGUAGACAAGGUUGAUCGUGCGUGAACAAAGCUGGCGGCCGGUGUAAAUCAGUCAGCUCUCCCUCCCUCUUUAUCCUCGCUUUCUCUCUGUCGAUCCACUUCCUUUCUCUCUCUCUCUCUCUCCGACUUCGCUUUCUUUCUCGCAUUACUCUCUCUCUGUCUCUGUCCGGCUGUUCACUGGUGCCGGGAUUAGAGUUUCUUCCGUGGAAUGGCUCGGUUACCCGGGCCGCAGCGAGCAAACUCUUUCGACUCUUUUCUCCGGUGAUCACCGUCGGUAUCGCCUGCUUUUCUCUCUCUCUUUCUCUCUCUCUCUUCCGUCCCUCUUCCUUCGAGCUCUCUCUUUCUAUCGCUUUCUGUCGGCUCUUUCGAAAAACCGUCUUUCAUGCGGGGAAACCGUUAGCUCGUCGUCGUCGCCGUCGACGUCGUCAUCCUCUGUAGCUGGCACGCGUGUCCCGGCGACGACUGCGAGAAGAGGGUCCGGAAUGAGAAGGAGAGAGGAAAAGAGAGAGAGACGGGAAGGGAGUGAGAAGCGAGAGAUGAAAGGGGGGCACAUCGGGGACCUCGAUUCUAUCCUAACGUAAUUCAGUCUCCGGAGCUUUUCGCGGAACAAUGGCUAAUAAUUGCCGACUACUUGUACAAGAGGACGUGAUGAACGCGGCAGACGGCACCGUCUGCCCGGCGAACACUGCGCACGGAUAAACGUAUCCGCCGAGGAAACGAAGUUUGCGAAACGGGGACGAGUCUUUUGGGUAUUAUUCCCUCCCGCGAUCUACCCUUCUCCGUUUCCCUCCUCCUCCCCCCCGAUGCUUUUCUUCCCGUCGCUGCCGCCGCCGCCGAAGAACCGUUCAACUGAAAGAAAUAAUAACUAGUUCGACCGAGUUCAAGCCGCAGAAACGAAUCGAUAGAUAUUAUUUACCGCACAAAGGGAAUCCACCUGAAACUUCCCUUGCCGCCACUUUCCCGGAACACCACCCUUGCUUCGAACUGUUCCGGAGACUGUACUGUAACUACUAAACUAGUUUACCGACGUGACCGUCGUCUGCGAUCGACGCGAUCUUUGUGUCACGCUGCGACACUCGUUGCCGUUGCGGCCGAGUCGAGGUUUUCGGUUUUUGUCCGUGUGAUUUAAGAUCUUCUUUUUUAAUGGA